rnacentral:tRNA from 1 species
GGCCCCAUAGCUCAGCCUGGCCCAGAGCGGUGGUCUUAUAAGCCACAGGUCGCGAGUUCAAAUGAAAAGGGGACUUUCGUCCCCUUUUGAACCCCUAGGAUUAUUAAAGAAUCAGGGGGAGUUCAAAUCUCGCUGGGGCCA